GAGAAUAUUAAAGAGAUCUUUACAGAGUCAAAUGUUAUUCACUCAGUAAACAUAAUUUACAUAAGUAUUUUUCAACAUUCAAUGAAAUCAAAAUUACAACGGAACCAAACUACCUUCUACCUAACCAAAAGACUAUAAGCCAGGGGCUACAUUUGCUUGGCUCGUCAUUAAAUUAGUCCUAUGAUACAAUAAGGGUUAUUAUCAGCAAAGAGCAAUGAGAUUAUAUUUCAUCGCCAGAUGUUCACCAGAUCCAACCCUACCACCUCUUGCCAUUUUGUUGCCAUCUGAUACUCUACCUUCACCACCCAUCUCAUCAUAUGGCCGUUUUCUCCAAACUCUAUCUUGGUCCAUUGACUGUCCAUGGGAAAAUGGAUGUCCUCCAUCGCUUUCACCAUCAGAUGCAUCUUCAAGCCUUGCAAUCGCGUCAACCAGCGCUUGUUCAUGUUCUUUCAGUACUUUCUUUGCUUUCUCAAUUUCCAUUGGAUCUGGAUGGCUAGCACCAACAACUUUUUCCACCUCCUUGAUUAGAGUAUCUGUGUGAAGUAUCUCAAUAUCCCCUACGGCCUUUUUUCCAAUACCAUUUUGUGAUAAUGGGAAAUCUUUUCUAGACUGCCCCUUCAUGGUCCCUCUACCUCUUCCUGCCCCAGCAAGAGCUCCACCACGUGCCAUAGAUUUCUUAUUCCCACGGCCUGGUCCAGGCCAGCCACCUCUAUGAAAAAUUCCUGGAUCCUCACCCUCCCACCUAAUAUCUUCAGGAGUUAUCUCUUUCAGAUUAACCCAUUCCCAAGUUUCAUCUGCUGAAUUAAUAUCAUAAACCAAAGCAUGCCUCCCCUCAACUGGAUUAUAGUCAGUUAUAACAGCCUCAUAGUAUUGGUUAUCCUCGGGCCACCGAGUCCAAACUUUCCUUCCAAUCAAUGGAUCAUAACUGGUAGCUUCUGCAGGUUCAUUGGGGGCAAAUGCACCUGAAGAACUCCGCAUAGCAGCUUGUGCUCUUCCGGUCAAACCUGUAGAAGGAUACUGCAUGUUUGGGAUUCUUGCUCUUAGGCCCUGGUGGAGGACCCCGCCUCAGCGCUGAUGAAGAUGGUUGCGUAGAUGGCAAUGCAGGAGAAGGUGCACCCAUAGACAAUGAAGCAACUGAUUGUGAUGUUUUCUGUUUCUUGCGCGAUGCUGAAACAGUAGGACUAGGUGUGGGAUCAUGAGCAGGCUGGGCUGUGCUUGGCAUGCCAGGUUGAAGCCCAUUUGUCUUUCUCCAUUCCC
rnacentral:misc_RNA from 1 species